rnacentral:tRNA from 1 species
GGUGUGGCUCAGUGGUAGAGCACUUGCCUCGUAAGCAACAAGACCCUGGGUUGGAUCCUUAGCACC